GAUGAAGAACGUAGCGAAAUGCGAUAAGUAAUGUGAAUUGCAGAAUUCAGUGAAUCAUCGAAUCUUUGAACGCACAUUGCGCCCGCCAGUAUUCUGGCGGGCAUGCCUGUUCGAGCGUCAUUAUAACCACUCAAGCUCUCGCUUGGUAUUGGGGUUCGCGGUUUCGCGGCCCCUAAAAUCAGUGGCGGUGCCUGUCGGCUCUACGCGUAGUAAUACUUCUCGCGAUUGAGUUCGAUAGGUCUACUUGCCAGUAACCCCCAAUUUUUACAGGUUGACCUCGGAUCAGGUAGGGAUACCCGCUGAACUUAAGCAUAUCAAUAAGCGGAGGA
rnacentral:misc_RNA from 1 species